GUCUAUAUGAGGUUAUAUAAAGUCUAGCCUGCCCACUGAUUUAUUUUAAAGGGCCGCGGUAUAUUGACCGUGCGAAGGUAGCAUAAUCAUUAGUCUUUUAAUUGAAGGCUUGUAUGAAAGGUUGGACAAGAAAUAAACUGUCUCAAUUAUAAAAAUUGAAUUUAACUUUUAAGUGAAAAGGCUUAAAUAAUUUAAGGGGACGAUAAGACCCUAUAAAACUUGACAAUAAUUUAAUUAAAUUAUAAAUUGUAAGUAUAACUUGAUUUAAUUGAUACUUGUUCCGUUGGGGCGACGAGAAUAUAAAAUAACUGUUCUUUUAAAUAUUUACAUAUAUAUUUGGUAAAGAUUGAUCCUUUAUUAAAGAUUAAAAGAUUAAGUUACUUUAGGGAUAACAGCGUAAUCUUCUUUGAGAGUUCUCAUCGACAAGAAGGGUUGCGACCUCGAUGUUGAAUUAAGAAAUCCUUAUAAUGCAGCAGUUAUAGAGGAAGGUCUGUUCGACCUUUAAAUUCUU
rnacentral:rRNA from 1 species